rnacentral:lncRNA from 1 species
GGCAGAUCUCGCAAAAGGGGAGGAAGGCCUUCACCGCUGAACCCGAGCUUUGCCAUUUCGAAGUGCUGAGUCACCUCGUCCUCGGUGGUAAUUUAUUCUAGAACCGAUGUGCCAGCGUUUCCUUCUGUGUGCUUUGAGUAGGAGCAGGAACAACGGAUCUCUCCAAGCAUGGGCAGACGGAGAGCUGCAACCCUUGGACCAACCAACGCCUGCCAGUGGGCGCCUGCAUCCCACGCCUGCAUCCCGCGUGCAGGCUACUGGCAGGUGCUCUGUGUCUCACUCCAUCUUUACCUGCCCUGUAAAGGAGGAACUGUUGUUUUUAGUCUCCUGGAGCAGCCGCGCCUUCCCACAGCACUCAGACUUGAGGAAGCUUAAGAAGCUGAGACCAGAGAGGGCGAUGUCCACCUUGGUGACGAAGCACUCUAGAGGCUGCCGCCACACUUAAAAAGUGACCAGUCACCAACAACUCAUCUUAAGUACAGGAAGAAUGCCAGCAGCUGAAUGAAAUUCUUGCUUUCCCUGGUGAACAACGAAAUGUGGAAACUCAG